GUGUUUUCUACCCAGGAGCAGCAUACCAGUGGAAUAAAGCACUGCAGCCCAAGGUGUGGAAGAGUGAAAAAUUCAGCAGUUCCUUAAAAACUGAACCUCAGACCUGUGUUUUACAUUAAACCAGUUUUGAGCUACAGCAACCAAUACUCAAGCUGGACUUAAAAUUGGCAUGCCACCAUACUACAUGUGAAGUUUUUCCUGUGGAGCAGGGUCUACAGCUGAGUUGAAUAUUCUAGGACUUGGCAAGUUAUUCCUGUCACUUCCUGGACACCUCUUCAGGCAGAGUUUUCUUCACUGUCAUUGCCAUCAUCAGGACAGACACCAAGCAGGGACAAGGCAGGAGAUGCUGUGGGGCUGUGUCUUUUUCCUUAAUGGUGCAGAAACACUGGUGAUAUUCUUUUCCCCAUGCUGGAAAAUUCCUAUCAAGCAAUCUCUGUGGAGUAACUCAGGGCAGCUGGU